UGAAACACAACCCAUAAACCUCUACAUUAAGAUGACGAUGAAUCAAAUUAUGCAACAAAGAAUCAGAGUUGAAGAUCUCAUAUAGAACGACCAAAAUCACAAGUUACAAAUCAGAGAACUGAUUGUUCAGAUCCACGAUGUCUUUCUCUCUCUUCACAAGAUCCAGAUUUUAGUGUGGAAGAAAAUCAAACAUGAAUAUGAAGAUGAUGAUGGAUCAGACAUGGAUCUUGUUAAAGGCGGUAUAAAGAGGCAUAACUUCAAAAGAGGUCCAUGGGUCAAAGAGUCAUCGGGCUCUUGGUUCAAUCGGAGCAGCAACAACGCCUGGGCGUCUGUACAAAGGGAAGAAAAUGCCUGGUCAAAUGGGAGGAACAAAAACCAAGAUCCGAAAACUUAAGAUUGUCAAAAUCGUCACUGAUUUGUUUGUUGUGAUUAAGAAAUAGGUGGUACUUAGUUGGAUUAUCCUUGUUAGUAUGUUAAUGACAUUUUCGGUAGUAUGUACUUGUUGAUGUUUGGCUGAAUAUGAGAAUUUUCUAUGUUAUGGAUUU